rnacentral:rRNA from 1 species
UAGGGAAUCUUGCGCAAUGGGCGAAAGCCUGACGCAGCGACGCCGCGUGUGGGAUGAAUGCCUUCGGGUUGUAAACCACUUUCAGCAGGGACGAAGCGAAAGUGACGGUACCUGCAGAAGAAGCCCCGGCUAACUACGUG